ensembl:snoRNA SNORA70 Small nucleolar RNA SNORA70
CUGCAGUUAAUGAAGUGACUGGGUUCCUUUGCUCUUGGGUGCCCAGUGUGCAGUGGCUGUGAACAACAAUGUCCUCGGAAGUGUAUGCAGCCUCUUGCUGGUGCGGGUGGCCCCAGGCGUCCCUGAAGACACUG